GACGAACGCUGGCGGCGUGCCUAAUACAUGCAAGUAGAACGCUGAAGGAGGAGCUUGCUUCUCUGGAUGAGUUGCGAACGGGUGAGUAACGCGUAGGUAACCUGCCUGGUAGCGGGGGAUAACUAUUGGAAACGAUAGCUAAUACCGCAUAAUAGUAGAUGUCGCAUGACAUUUGCUUAAAAGGUGCAAUUGCAUCACUACCAGAUGGACCUGCGUUGUAUUAGCUAGUUGGUGAGGUAACGGCUCACCAAGGCAACGAUACAUAGCCGACCUGAGAGGGUGAUCGGCCAAACUGGGACUGAGACCAGGCCCAGACUCCUACGGGAGGCAGCAGUAGGGAAUCUUCGGCAAUGGACGGAAGUCUGACCGAGCAACGCCGCGUGAGUGAAGAAGGUUUUCGGAUCGUAAAGAUCUGUUGUAAGAGAAGAACGAGUGUGAGAGUGGAAAGUUCACACUGUGACGGUAUCUUACCAGAAAGGGACGGCUAACUACGUG
rnacentral:rRNA from 1 species